AGAGUAUGAAGUGAAGGGGAUGAAAACAGAGACGUGACCACAGUUUGAACACAUUUCAGUCACCAGCAGCUCCGGCAGGGCCAGCCUGUCACAUGCCUGCUAAUGGUGUCCCCACGGCUGCAUCUCAGGGGCUCUGCGCUGGAAGUCUUACUGCCCACGGCAUGUGCAACCCUGAGCCAAACACAACGGAGAAUACCAAGGCCCGAGAAGAUGAAGUGACUUGCUUCUUCCAGGGAGAAGGGACAGCAAAUGCAAAGAUCCUGAGGUAGGAACAGACAAGGUCUGUUGGACCCUAUUCUAAGAAUGAAUCAGUGGGAGGGCUGCUGCUUCUCUUUAGAUUUCUCCGAUGCUCUGUCCUAUCUCCAGACUUAGUUUCUUCAGAACACUUGUUUCCCUCAGAGAUUAUUUGCUUCCUCAUGAUUGCGUCGCUGGCUGGAAAUUCAACUCCAUGAGAGUGACGACCUUGACUGUGUUCCAUCCACCACUGUGUUCUUAGCACCUGAAACCGGGCCGGAUACACAUCUAAGCAGAUAUAUGUUCUAGACUCCUUACCUGAAGGCUGUGGGGUCCAAGUGUUUUUGGGAGUUCAGAAUUUUCAGAUUUUAGAAAGGUCAAGGGGUGCAUCUCACUAAGUUAUGUAACACCCCAAAGAGUCUGGGGCAGCAUCCUAUAAUCAGACACAUUUGCCUAUCUGCCAUGAAUCAUGCAGCAUUUGUGAAUAUCCACAGUAAGGGAGAUCACUAAAGACUUCAAAUAGCCUCACAUCUGUUUAGGUCAGGAGUCCUUGUCCAAUGAGCUUGCUGUCAACUUACAGAAAAUCUUUUAGGGGCGCCUGGGUGGCGCAGUCGGUUAAGCGUCUGACUUCAGCCAGGUCACGAUCUCGCGGUCCGUGAGUUCGAGCCCCGCGUCAGGCUCUGGGCUGAUGGCUCAGAGCCUGGAGCCUGUUUCCGAUUCUGUGUCUCCCUCUCUCUCUGCCCCUCCCCCGUUCAUGCUCUGUCUCUCUCUGUCCCAAAAGUAAAUAAACGUUGAAAAAAA
rnacentral:lncRNA from 1 species